UUUAUUGGUCAAAGAAGCAAACUGAGUGCAGUCUUAAGGCAGUCCUCCGCAGGCCUCAGCUGGCCUCUCCUGUCCUCUUUUUCCCUAUCUCUUCCUUCUUCUCCCAGCGGUCAGCGGACACCGGCCCAAGGAUUCCCAGAGGAGGGCUAUGUGGGGUUCCCCAGAGCCCCAGUGGGGGGAAGGAAGGACGGAGGCGUGCUGGUGCCAGACCAAGGCGAGGGACAGGUGCUAAGACUGACGGGAAGACUUGAGCAGAUGCUGGCGAGCCCCCAGCCCCUCCCUGCUUUUCUGGAGACCAGCUCCCAGCUUGCCUGGUGACUAGAAAUCAAGGCAAAUGCCCAUCCUUCCCACUGAGACAAG